UAUCAGCUCGGCUGCUCUUCAUCCAGAAACAUCUGAUCAGAAGUGGAAGGGCCCAGGGAAGACAGAGGAGAGCAGUGAGCUGACCUCAGAACCAACUGCAGCAGAAACACCCACCAGGGGCACAGAGGCAGAGGAUCCCGCAGCUGCAGAAACUUAUGAGAUUGGCAGGUGUUGGAAUAGUGCAAGAAGUAUAUUGGCAAUUGUUUUAGAAAAUUUUGCUGCUGCUGUCUUCGUGGUGAAGAGAAUUCUGAAGCAAGUGUUUCAUCCUUUGAGUGGAGAAUAGCUUUGACAGCCUGGCUACAAGGAGCUCUAGUGGAAAUGCAAAGAAACCAUCACUGUGUUACUGAUUCAAAGACAUGCUAUGCAUCCUGAACAUGCCUGGAGAUCAGCGUCCCUCUGCUCCUACCUCGAAGAACGUUCAUACUUCACAGACUUGUUUUCCUUUCUUUUUACUUUCUACAUGGAAUACGUUUUCUAAUAUUCCUAUGUUUUCUCACCAACUUGAUACAUUGGUAUUUCUGGGAGAUGAU